rnacentral:rRNA from 1 species
UACGGAGGGUGCAAGCGUUAAUCGGAAUUACUGGGCGUAAAGCGUGCGCAGGCGGUUUGUUAAGUCUGCUGUGAAAUCCCCGAGCUCAACUUGGGAAUUGCAGUGGAUACUGGCAGGCUGGAGUAUGGUAGAGGAAGGUGGAAUUCCCGGUGUAGCAGUGAAAUGCGUAGAGAUCGGGAGGAACACCAGUGGCGAAGGCGGCCUUCUGGACCAACACUGACGCUGAAGCACGAAAGCGUGGGGAGCAAACAGG